UUGGGCCCCUCGCUACAAGAAGGACAUGGAGGUGCUUGAGCGGGUCCAAAGAAGGGAGACGAAGCUGGUGAGGGGCCUGGAGAACAAGUCCUACGAGGAGCGGCUGAGGGAGCUGGGCUUGUUCAGCCUGGAGAAAAGGGGGCUCAGGGGCAACCUUAUUGCUCUCUACAGUCAAAAAGAAAGAAAGAAGUGGGGUGAAUCCAUGCUCACCUUGCAAUAUUUCACUGGAUGCCUCAGAAGAGCUGAUGAAGAUAGUGAGCAAUGGGUAAGGAUGACUGAAGAGCUGAUGUCAGGACAGCGUAUGAUCCCUGGUACCCUGGGGGAGGAGAGCUGCAUGGAAGGCUACGAAGAGCCAUGUGCCUCUUGAAAUCUGCCAGUUAAGUAUUGCAAUCGUUGGGCCCUAUCUGGUAAGGGCUUCUUGCCCUCCUUUCCCACCAACAUUCCUGGGAGCUGAGGGUGUCACUGUUGGGCACUUACGCCCUAAGUGAUAGGGGCAUAAAACGAUUUGUGGCACUUACGCACAUAUGUGAUACAGACGGGAUGAAAAUGCAUCACUUCUAAACCCUCAAGCUUCUGUAGAUUUGGUAAUCUCCACAGAGGUGUUGUGCUAAGAUUGUGCUGUACAUUUUGUUUCCUCAUUUUGUUUCCAUAAGCAAAGCACUUGGCUGAUAGCACAGGAAACCAACUGCUAUGGGCAUUCACUUCAAUGGGUGAACUUUAAACGAGUCACCAGGGACUGGCUGCUGCUGAGUUCAAAGAGAAAGAGACAUCCAAAACCUCUAGUGAAGCCAAGUUAUGGUGGGAAAUGCCAGAUACAAACAGGAGAAAACUGGAAAGCACAGUAGGGUGAAAGACAGAUAGAGUUAUGUUUUCCUGUCCCUAGUUGGUCAGAUUUAGGCGAGGUGGGAAUGCAGAUUUUAAAAGAAAUAACAUAAAAUUUUACUAAGGGAAGUUUGUUGAACAUCAGGAAAUGUGCUCUGGUGUUGAUGUUCUAUGAGCUGAGCACAAUAAUCUGGGAAUGGAAACAUGCUGAGAAAGUUAAUAUGGUACUUGACAAAAUACUGGAAAAUAUAUUAAAAAGAACAGUUUUGUGCAGGGCAGAAGGUAGAGCAAAUGACCCACUAAGCUUCUCCAUUUAUCCUCUUUAUUUUUUUUUUCUUUCCCCAUUGAUUUCAAAAAUCUCUCAUGCUCUCAUGCAACUGAAAGAGAAGGAGCCACCCCCCACAUCCAUCCAGUGAAGGAAAGAGAAUUUGUUCAUAGCAAUGGAAAAAAAAAAAAAAAAAAAAGAGAGGAAAAAAAAAAAAGGAAGGAAUAGAAGUCUAAACUUGGGUGUCAAUUCCCCCCAGCACACACGUGAGCAUCAGACU
rnacentral:lncRNA from 1 species